rnacentral:rRNA from 1 species
UUGGUUAAGUUAGAAAGGGCGCACGGUGGAUGCCUUGGCACUAGGAGCCGAAGAAGGACGGCACUAACACCGAUAUGCUUCGGGGAGCUGUAAGUGAGCGAUGAUCCGGAGAUUUCCGAAUGGGGAAACCCGCUGCCUGUAAUGGGGCAGUAUCCAUGUGUGAAUAGAUAGCACAUGAGAAGGCAAACCCAGGGAACUGAAACAUCUAAGUACCUGGAGGAAGAGAAAGCAAAUGCGAUUCCCUGAGUAGCGGCGAGCGAAACGGGAACAGCCCAAACCAAGAGGCUUGCCUCUUGGGGUUGUAGGACACUCUAUACGGAGUUACAAAAGGACAGAUUAGGCGAAGCGACCUGGAACGGUCCGCCAUAGCGGGUAACAGCCCCGUAGCCGAAAACCUGUCCCCUCCAGAGUGGAUCCUGAGUACGGCGGAACACGUGAAAUUCCGUCGGAAUCCGGGAGGACCAUCUCCCAAGGCUAAAUACUCCCUAGUGACCGAUAGUGAACCAG